UAGGGAAUCUUCCGCCAUGGACGCAAGUCUGACGGAGCAACGCCGCGGGAGUGAAGAAGGAUUUCGGUUCGUAAAACUCUGUUGUUAGAGAAGAACAGCGCAUAGAGUAACUGUUAUGCGUGUGACGGUAUCUAACCAGAAAGCCACGGCUAACUACGUGCCAGCAGCCGCGGUAAUACGUAGGUGGCAAGCGUUGUCCGGAUUUAUUGGGCGUAAAGCGAGCGCAGGCGGUCAAUUAAGUCUGAUGUGAAAGCCCCCGGCUCAACCGGGGAGGGUCAUUGGAAACUGGUUGACUUGAGUGCAGAAGAGGAGGGUGGAAUUCCAUGUGUAGCGGUGAAAUGCGUAGAUAUAUGGAGGAACACCAGUGGCGAAGGCGACUCUCUGGUCUGUAACUGACGCUGAGGCUCUAAAGCGGGGGUAGCAAACAGG
rnacentral:rRNA from 1 species